rnacentral:misc_RNA from 1 species
UCUCCGUUGGUGAACCAGCGGAGGGAUCAUUACAGAGUUCCACAACUCCCAACCACUGCGAACCGUACCCCAGUUUGUUCUCGUUGCCUCCUGGCGGCGGGCCCCCGGCGCCACCGCCGGGGCCCCCGCCAGCGGCGGCGAUCCCCCUGAACCUUUUUUUCUCAACCAGCCCGACUGAGCAAACAAACAAAUGAAUCAAAACUUUCAACAACGGAUCUCUUGGUUCUG